UCAAAUUCAGUGUGACUUUAUCAAAACCUUCUUCAAAAUCUUCUUAAAAUAAACAAUUAACGGUGGAGACACAUAAAUAUGAUGAAAACACGUUAUUUGUUUCAAGCAGGUUUCAAAUUACUAAUUGCUUGUUAUUUUUCGCAGGAAAUCCAGUUGCUCAAAACAUUUAUUUGAAUUUAAUAAACCGUCGUUUGUUACGGUCCGAAAUAUAAAGUGUUGCGGUACUAAUUGUGAUAAUUCUUGAAACCAAGAAAAUCGUAAUUACUCCUUUCUGCCAAAGCGUCAGGUUCCAGCAGUGGUGUAAAAUUCUCGACAUCGAUAAGGAAAACGUAUCACCUAAAACUGUCGUUUGCAGCAAACACUUUUAGCCACCUUCAAGAAAUUUCUCAAAGAGUUUUACCGACCUCUCCACCCCAUUUGUGUCUUCACCAUUGUCUGUGUCUCCACCGAAAGGGGGGUGGGUUAAUUUAUCCUUAUAUACUCAAGGCACGAAAAUUAUUGCUACUAUUUAUAAUAAAAUAUUUUGCAACCGGGAAAUUAUUUCGAUGUUUGGUUAUUACGGCAAAGUUGUUUUUAUUGGUGAAGAUGCAUUAUUAAAUCUAUAAACAACAAAGAUGUUUUAUUCACAUUAGAUAACAAUUGCUUCA